CGGACGGGUGAGUAACGCGUAGGUAUCUGUCCAUGGGUGGGGGAUAACGGCGGGAAACUGCUGCUAAUAGCGGAUGACACCUGAGGGUCAAAGGCUUUGGGGCAACCUGGGGCCGCCUGUGGAGGAGCCUGCGUCCGAUUAGCUAGUUGGUGGGGUAAUGGCCUACCAAGGCUGCGAUCGGUAGCUGGUCUGAGAGGAUGAUCAGCCACACUGGCACUGAAACACGGGCCAGAGUCCUACGGGAGGCAGCAGUUGGGGAAUUUUGCACAAUGGGGGCAACCCUGAUGCAGCGACGCCGCGUGAGCGAUGAAGCCCCUCGGGGUGUAAAGCUCUUUCGGCAGGGACGAUAAUGAACGGUACCUGAAGAAGAAGCUGCGGCUAACUACGUGCCAGCAGCCGGGUAAUACGUAGGCCGCGAGCGUCGUUCGGAAUUACUGGGCGUAAAAGAGUGUGUAGGCGGUGCUCUAAGUUCGGUGUGAAAUCUCCUGGCUUAACUGGGAGGGUGCGCCGAAAAACUGGAGUGCUCGAGCGUU
rnacentral:rRNA from 1 species